GCUUGGGUCUAGUGGAAAGUAGGUAUGAAGAGGUGCAAUUCCCAGUACUCUUAACAUUGCAGUCUGUGCGUAUGUCUGUUCCUAAAAGGAGAUACGAGGUUUGGUCCUAAAUCUUGGGUAAUGCAGAGAAGAGGAUUUGGAGAGCAAAGGCGGUUCAGAGCAGUGGAGACUGUUGCCUAGAGAUUCUUCAUAUGGGUGAAAAGGAGCACAGUUUUGUAGGAAGGGCCAGUGUCCUGCAAGAAGUGACCCAGGGUCCUGCAAGUCCAACAGCCAGCAGGUGCCCCCAGAUGGCUUCAGAAGAAGAUGCAAGAAACAUCACCUUCAACGCAGGGCAGAGCACGGGCUGAAGUAUCACCGUGUUAGCAAAGAUCCGCCAUGUGAUUUUGAUCAGGCAAACUCAUAAUGUCCUAGGCAAGCUUGAGAAGGGGUUGUGUUGCUAGUCUUGAUGCAUCGUCUAAAUUGGCCUCCUUUCCUUCUGUCACCCUCCCUGCUCUAUCGCCAGGCCAACAGCUGCGUGGACUUGGGACUGACUCUGAGGUAGGUGACGUCAUCAGAAAAGCCAUACG
rnacentral:lncRNA from 1 species